ACGCCCGGUCCCAUUCCGAACCCGGAAGCUAAGGCCUGGCACGGCGAUGGUACUGCACCCGACAGGGUGUGGGAGAGUAG
rnacentral:rRNA from 1 species